CGCCGUGUGUGUGUGUGUGGAUAUAUCUAUAUAUAUCUAUCUAUAUAUAUAUAUAUAUAUGUAUAUAUAUCUAUAUAUAUAUAUAUAUAUAGAUAGAUAUAUCCACACACACAAACACACAC